CUACGGAGGGUGCAAGCGUUAUCCGGAAUCAUUGGGUUUAAAGGGUCCGUAGGCGGGCUAUUAAGUCAGAGGUGAAAUCCCACAGCUUAACUGUGGAACUGCCUUUGAUACUGGUAGUCUUGAGUUAUAUGGAAGUAGAUAGAAUGUGUAGUGUAGCGGUGAAAUGCAUAGAUAUUACACAGAAUACCGAUUGCGAAGGCAGUCUACUACGUAUAUACUGACGCUAAGGGACGAAAGCGUGGGGAGCGAACAGGAUUAGAAACCCCGGUAGUCC
rnacentral:rRNA from 1 species